rnacentral:rRNA from 1 species
AAAUUGAAGAGUUUGAUCAUGGCUCAGAUUGAACGCUGGCGGCAGGCCUAACACAUGCAAGUCGAACGGUAACAGGAAGCAGCUUGCUGCUUUGCUGACGAGUGGCGGACGGGUGAGUAAUGUCUGGGAAACUGCCUGAUGGAGGGGGAUAACUACUGGAAACGGUGGCUAAUACCGCAUAACGUCGCAAGACCAAAGAGGGGGACCUUCGGGCCUCUUGCCAUCAGAUGUGCCCAGAUGGGAUUAGCUUGUUGGUGAGGUAACGGCUCACCAAGGCGACGAUCCCUAGCUGGUCUGAGAGGAUGACCAGCCACACUGGAACUGAGACACGGUCCAGACUCCUACGGGAGGCAGCAGUGGGGAAUAUUGCACAAUGGGCGCAAGCCUGAUGCAGCCAUGCCGCGUGUAUGAAGAAGGCCUUCGGGUUGUAAAGUACUUUCAGCGGGGAGGAAGGUGUUGUGGUUAAUAACCACAGCAAUUGACGUUACCCGCAGAAGAAGCACCGGCUAACUCCGUGCCAGCAGCCGCGGUAAUACGGAGGGUGCAAGCGUUAAUCGGAAUUACUGGGCGUAAAGCGCACGCAGGCGGUCUGUCAAGUCGGAUGUGAAAUCCCCGGGCUCAACCUGGGAACUGCAUUCGAAACUGGCAGGCUUGAGUCUUGUAGAGGGGGGUAGAAUUCCAGGUGUAGCGGUGAAAUGCGUAGAGAUCUGGAGGAAUACCGGUGGCGAAGGCGGCCCCCUGGACAAAGACUGACGCUCAGGUGCGAAAGCGUGGGGAGCAAACAGGAUUAGAUACCCUGGUAGUCCACGCUGUAAACGAUGUCUACUUGGAGGUUGUGCCCUUGAGGCGUGGCUUCCGGAGCUAACGCGUUAAGUAGACCGCCUGGGGAGUACGGCCGCAAGGUUAAAACUCAAAUGAAUUGACGGGGGCCCGCACAAGCGGUGGAGCAUGUGGUUUAAUUCGAUGCAACGCGAAGAACCUUACCUGGUCUUGACAUCCACGGAAGUUUUCAGAGAUGAGAAUGUGCCUUCGGGAACCGUGAGACAGGUGCUGCAUGGCUGUCGUCAGCUCGUGUUGUGAAAUGUUGGGUUAAGUCCCGCAACGAGCGCAACCCUUAUCCUUUGUUGCCAGCGAUUAGGUCGGGAACUCAAAGGAGACUGCCAGUGAUAAACUGGAGGAAGGUGGGGAUGACGUCAAGUCAUCAUGGCCCUUACGACCAGGGCUACACACGUGCUACAAUGGCGCAUACAAAGAGAAGCGACCUCGCGAGAGCAAGCGGACCUCAUAAAGUGCGUCGUAGUCCGGAUUGGAGUCUGCAACUCGACUCCAUGAAGUCGGAAUCGCUAGUAAUCGUGGAUCAGAAUGCCACGGUGAAUACGUUCCCGGGCCUUGUACACACCGCCCGUCACACCAUGGGAGUGGGUUGCAAAAGAAGUAGGUAGCUUAACCUUCGGGAGGGCGCUUACCACUUUGUGAUUCAUGACUGGGGUGAAGUCGUAACAAGGUAACCGUAGGGGAACCUGCGGUUGGAUCACCUCCUUACCUUAAAGAA